UCUGGGUGUGGCGCAGCUUGGCUAGCGUGCUUGCCUGGGGGGCAAGAGGUCGGAGGUUCAAAUCCUCUCAUCCAGAU
rnacentral:tRNA from 1 species